rnacentral:lncRNA from 1 species
GUACCGGGAGAUAUUAUGCUGGCUGCUGGGCUGACCUUCUACUAUACAGUGUCAACAGGUUUGACAACCAUACAAUGUCAACUAUCUAGGCUGUCAACAGAUUUUCUCAGAAGAUAGAGAUUUGUCUUUUGGAGUAAGGCAAAGACCAAAACAAGAAACUGAAAAGCUGAGGUACACAGGUCUCCUCUGAGUAUUUAAAGCGGACAGUGAUUCACAUCUUACAAGGCCAGGAAUCUUUGAAAGUAACUUCAGAAAAAUCUGAAAGCUACCUGAAGCUCCAGCGACAAAUAUAGAACUGCACUGCCCUCCAGAGAUCUUCCCCUGAAUGCCAUCCUCAGGAAUUAGGAAAAACUGGGGAACACUGUUUAAACCUACGAAACAAAGUAAAGUGGCAGAGUGGUUGUUCUAUUCUCCUUGGACCAAGAAAAAGGAUAUGAAUGGUCAUCCUCUGGCUCUCAAGAAAGUUGCACUGGUGUACUCCAGUCUCUCUAGAAAACUUUUAUGAAGAGUAAAUGUGUAAAAACUUAAAACAUCUAAUAUUAGAUGUUUGCUGCCGUGUUUAGAACAUAAAUAUUAUUCUACAUGAGACUUCAAGAGAAACAAGACAGAACAAUUAACUAGUCUUUGGAAAAGAUUCAACUCUAAUGCAUGCCGGGGGCCAGCAGGGGGAGUAAAACCCCCAAAAUAUGAAUAACAGAGAAGAAAAAUGCUAAAUGGAGUUACAGGUGGGACAACCUGGAAAGAAUCAGUCACCCAAUCAAAAGAGGAGGAUGGAAAGAUUCUAUAAGGCCUUAACCCAGAGAUAAAAUGAUUUUGAACUAUAUCUCAUCCACCUGGUGAAAAGUUCACCUCUUUAUACAUAUAUUCCAGACAGCCAAAUAAACUAACAGAAUUUCUU